UUCUUUAGUCUGAAAAAUAUAGUAAUAGAUUUUAUUGUUUUUAAACUGUAGAUAUUAAGGUACUCAUGGUCAACUAGUAUCGCUUGCAAAUAGAAGUUCCAAAAGAAGUUACUGUCAAGGUCUGCAGAUUUUUGGGUGAACCUCAAUUACAUAUUGAGGUUGAACUCUUAAAGAUGCUUCUGAAUUUAUCUCACAGAUCAUGAUGGUGAAAGAUGUGCUGAUUUCUGCAUGCCAGCGUUUGAUGGAGGUGUACGUAAAAUGGAAAGCGUCCACAACCAAUGCUUCCACAACUGUUGAUCUUCUGGUCUCUCUGGUAUUGCUAUUAAAAUAAAAUAUAAUAAUAAUAACAAUUAUGAUACAGCAAAUAGAAGGACAUUAGUCUUUGUGUGGCUACUUAAAUCAUUAUUCUUCCAAUAAUAUGCUGAGUAUUGUUUGAUAACAAUAUUUUCUUAUUUUUACCACAUGGAUUUGGCUUGGCUUGGCUUCCUUAUCACAUUUAAUGCAAUUAAUCUCUCACGUAUAUGAAAAAAAUAAAUAAAAAGAGUUAAUAAUCAAUAAUAAAGAUUUCAAUGUAAAAUUCCGAAUCAAAAACCAUUUCUAAGUGUUUUCAGGAAAUAAUCUACAUCUUUUAAGAUUUAUU